UCGGGAAUUUUGGGCAAUGGGCGAAAGCCUGACCCAGCAACGCCGCGUGAAGGAUGAAGUAUUUCGGUAUGUAAACUUCGAAAGAAUAGGAAGAAUAAAUGACGGUACUAUUUAUAAGGUCCGGCUAACUACGUGCCAGCAGCCGCGGUAAUACGUAGGGACCAAGCGUUGUUCGGAUUUACUGGGCGUAAAGGGCGCGUAGGCGGCAAUUCAAGUCAUCUGUGAAAUCUCCGGGCUUAACUCGGAACGGUCAGAUGAUACUGCUUUGCUAGAGUGCAGAAGGGGCAAUCGGAAUUCUUGGUGUAGCGGUGAAAUGCGUAGAGUAUCAAGAGGAACACCUGAGGUGAAGACGGGUUGCUGGGCUGACACUGACGCUGAGGCGCGAAAGCCAGGGGAGCAAACGGGGAUU
rnacentral:rRNA from 1 species